GCGUGCGAAUGUAAUUGUAAAUGCGCCGGCAGGCCAGUGUAGGUGUUAGCUUGGUUCUGUGGCUGUUCCGCGCAUUGCCGUACUGCUUUUUCGCGGAGCAGCGUGCACACUGAACCAGUGUUACGGGACCCCAGUAAUACGUCUAUCGGCAAAAGCCAAUGUCGUACUGCAAGAACUUCGGGAAAGACCGAGUAAUUUUCAUCACAAAGGAAGAUCAUGAGAAACCUAGCACGAUACAGCUGCCCGAUGACCCAGAAGAUGAAAAACGAGGACCACGCCCACCCGAGAAGAGCAGUCACCUGCCGGAAUGCUGUUAGGAUUCCAACCUCGGACUCGCCUAAGCACCUACUUUGAAGAGGAGGAUGGAGCGGGCAAGAGUGCUACCGUCAACGGUGUCCCGAGUAACAGAGUGUAACAAUUUGUUCCUGGAACACAAGUGUGAGCUCGACAGUAUAAUCAGCAUGGUCAAAGGUGGCUACCGGGAACCGUGACGACUUUGGAAGGCAAGCGUUUGUUAACCGUCGACACGUCAAAAGGGGUGCAGCGAAGGCACGUCGAUCAGGUACAAGCACGCGAAUUGUCGAUGCCGUUUAAGAAGGAACAUUGCGAAACGCAGUUUGCCGCAGAGCAAGCUUCGCAGGAAAGGCCAUCCUCAUCCGGCGACACCUAAUCAACAAGCAGCCAAGCCCUGCAAGCUGAUCAGCCCGAGAUGGGAGAUGAAGCGUCUGGAGGUUGCAUCAAGCCCACAGCGAGCCCAGUGUCGACAACGGAACCGAUUCCUCUCAGACGCUCAACCCGCACUCGUAAGCCCCCGGACAGGCUCUAACUUAGAGGGGUGGAAGUGCGGUAUCGUAGGCCGCCAGUGGCACGUGCCGAAGAACGUCGAUCACAACACGUGCCUGGACGCCUUGUAAUUGUGCAUGCUCCAGUCGCUAGGCGCGGGUAUAAAACCACUACAGCCUUUUGAAUAAACGUUCAUUCUUGUUCGCACAUCAAGGUGUCAUGCUUUCCACGCUGCCUACAGUUACUACAGGAAGCGUCCUGUAAAUCCUAAGAAUACUCGGAGAGAGUGCAAGUCGUAUGGUUUGACGAGUUGCGAGAUGCGUUGCACGCUUUCCUCCUUGGUACUCUUCGUUCUUCCAUCGAAAAUCCGGCAGAGGAAAAGAACCUUCUGGCAAAAGAACUCACUUUUCUUGAUAUUAAUUUUCAGUCUUGCAUGACAGUGCUUCACGGACUUCCACUAAGUGGAUGAUGUGGUCAUCCCUUAUUCUUGAGUACACAAUUAUAUCAAUGUAGACGUUGCAGAACUUUCCUAUACAGUCUUUUAGAACGAAAUUCAUCCUGUUGUACUUAUAUAUGUCAAACGGUGUAACAAAUGCUGUGAACUUCUAAUGGGACCUGCCAGUAUCCUUUACAUAGGUCUAUUCAUGAGAAACAUUCACAGCCACCCGUCUCAUCGAUGAUUUCGUCUAUGCGUGGCAUUGAAAAAGGGUAGAGUUCAGUUUGCUUGUUAAUUAAUCAGUAGUCCGUGCAAAGCGGAGUGAUCCGUCUUCCUUGGGUACGAUGGUUAUUGGUGAAGCUGAUGGUCUAAUAAUACCAGAAUCGAGCAUUCCUUGAAGCUCUUGUUUAAGCCAGAACUUUUUCUCUUGACUUUGGCUGUGUGGCUUUUUCCUCACGACAGACACAUAUCGCAACUCAAAUAAAACUUCUAUAGCAGCUGUAGGUGGUGGAUAUUUUCCUUCACAUAUUAAUUCUGGAAAGUUACAUGCAACAUCUUCUGAACAUGACACAGUUCUUGUUUUCAAAAUGGUUGUUCCAUUUCUGCUUUGUUCAUCUGUAGUGAUCACGUCAUUCUACAAUAUAUUAUUCUUUAAAAGUUUUAUGUCAAGUUUUGAUAAGAGAAAAUCAAACUCAACCCCAGACAAUACUAAACACUUUGUCAUCUCAUGGUCUCUCAACUGGAAACGCCUGCGAGACUCCAUUAUAGCUGUAGACCCGAACCGACUUUCCAGUGGCAUUGUUCGCCUCGUCUACAAUUUUUUCAUUUAUAAGGCUUAUCGACGCACCAGUGUCUACGAGCGGUGUCAUUUUCCAGCGAUUUACAAGUAUAGGGACAAAAUAAAGAUGUCGCAGUUUCGUCCGAAAGGCGAAGCAUCAAUUGCGAUAGCAAAUUAGUAGAGAGCUAUUCGGAGUAGGGAUAGUAGUGUUAUCAGCUGCAUAAACUUGGACACAUUCGCUUCUGACUGAAUUAACAAGCGUGGUGUCAGUGCGCACAAGCAAACAUGAAUAAAUCACACUGAAUGAUCGCAGAUGACUCAAAACGAUGGCAGCAAGCGCAGCCGCCGCAGCGGGUGAAGGUUCGUGCAGUCUAUCGCUUCAACGGAAACUGAGCAGCGAAUGCACAGCGCAUACAAAGGUCAGAGCCGUGUGGAGAUUAGAGACAGUGCGGGCGACCGCCACAGCGGGUCAAAGUACAAGCUCUGUUGUUGGCAGAGUAGAAGCUGCCCUCCCCUCCUCCCUCCCUCCCGCACUGCCUUCCCGCUUUCUUGCUUUCGCGUGGGAGAUUGAGUGGCCAGUUCCCCUUGCGCCCGGUUGCAGGAUACGUAUUUCGUGCCGCAGCACAGCGUCGCCCUGCCUCCCUCCCUCCCAUACCCCCACGGCCUUUCGCGCGACGGUCGCGUUUGCUUUCCGCCGUGCGUUCGCUCUCCGUGAUAGCAUGCGUCCCCCGCGCGCUUUCACUCGCGCAGACGGCGCGCGGCGAUGAUUUUAUUGCCCUUGGACUUUAUACGGAACCUCACGGCGACGCCGACGGCAGACAUCCGGUUGAAGUGUCCUCAUACCGUACUUUCCGGUGUAUAAGACGCAUUUUUUUUCUAAAUUUUUCGUCGGUGUGUCUUAUAGAAUGGUGCGACUUAUGUACGUUUUUUUUUUCCCAUCCCAAAAUCGGAUUCAAUAUUAUGGCCACGCGAAGCGCGCUGGUUGACGUAAUUGCUACGUGCUAUUGAGGUGCCAGGUUCUUCUUGUGAUCGAGUUCCGAGCGCCGUGUGAGAAGGACGGAGCAGCAACGCAAGCGGCGGCAGGUCGGCUGACCCCGAAUUCGUCGCAUCUGCAGAUCGCUGUCAAGAUACGGCGCGCGCUGCUGCGCAAACUACGUAGUUGCUACCAGAGUACAACCCCCCCCCCCCUCACGUUGCCUUCUUGCUUUCCUCCCUUGUGCGCAAUUCGGCUCACCGUCAGACGCUUUCACUCGCACAUACAUGUAUGGCGCGUGGGGACGAUGUUAUCGUCCUUGGACUUUAUACAGAACAUCGCGGCAACCACGACAGCAGAAAUGCGCCUGGAGCGGAAAUAUAUGGCACCCAUACACUUGCUUGUGACCCACGUUCACGGAAAGAAACGUCACAAUUUUUUUUUUAAUCGCUUACCAAACGAAGAGAUGCGUCUUAUACACCGGUGCAACUUAUAUACGUUUUUUUUUUUCUGGAAAAGCUGCCUGUUUGAGGGGGGUGCGUCCUAUACAAAGGUGCGACAUAUGGACCGGAAAAUACGGUAAUUGCUAUCGCAAUAAAAUGUUUUUCUUAACAAGGAAUAUCCUCUGGUUUUGUUUGAUUGCUUCAUUGUCAUUGCAAUGCGACUUUGUAACUGGUUCCUCACAUUCAGUCAAUCUCCUUUGUGAAAUUGUGGUCUCGCAAUGAUGCAUACACAUUGGGUUACUUUGCACUUUUCUCAUAACCGAUUUGUCUGUCCCCUGCCCUGUUGUCGAGCAUGUGGUUUCGACAGCAGGUGAUGGGUAUGAGAUGGUGACAUCUUAAUAAGUAGAGAAGGUCACUUACUGUGGAAGGCGGCCUGAUUUGUGCUUGUUGCCGACAUUCGCUUCUCAUUCUGAGCGUCACAAGUGGCACCACUGGUGACUCGGGAAGCAUGGGUUCUGCUAUUUGCAACAGCCGGUGCUUUUCGAAAAAGUGAUUCAAAAGAUCCUAAUCUUUCUGGUUAUAAGUGAUUGCCUUGUCCCACAAGUCAAGUGGAUUUCCUCUAAAAGCACACAGAAAUCUCUGCCUCCAUGCUUUCCACAGCUGAUGCUUGUCCUCUGAGAUGCAAAAAUCGAACCAUUUUUUUUAGCCUUUCCUCCAAGCAGUGUUGUACACUUUCCUCUAAAACAGGAACGAAAGCUCGUUCCUCGUUGCUUCCCAAUAUUGAAACAAGUUCCCAUUACCAGUUCCUUUAUUGCGAAAGGAAUGCGUUCCAGUUACACUUCGAACAUUGGAAUGUGUUGUUACAUUAACGUUACAUUUUAUGAUUAUUUAAUUAAAAUAGUGUUGGAUAAUCCUGAGGCGAAAUAAAAUGAGCAAUUUAAAACAUCAAACUACGUAUGUUAUACAUAGUUUGAUGAAUUUCCAAAGAAACGCUCCUAUAAGAAUUUUUUCAGGGAGCACCGGACAUACUCCAGAGAUGUCUAACUGCAACUUUGGUGCUCCUCUAUUACAAGUGCAAAACAUAUGGCACUUUCCACUUUGGUCUCCAAAUGCGCAGUCAGGAUACUGUGCUUGAGAUGUGCAAAUAGAAAGUUACAUACACCAAUAUAAUUAAAUUUCUUGCCCAAGAAACCACAUUGAAAGAAACAAUGCAUAGGCGGUUAAUGAAUGAUAAUCAAUAUUGCAGUAUGAGUGGGAAAAAAAAUGUCCAGAAUACAUAUUCGCAACUUAGUUAAGUCCCUCUUUGAACUCCACAAGAGUUGCAUCUUGAUGUUGGUGCCUGACAGACGAACCCGUUUUUCAGGGGGGGAAUGAACUUUAUUAUAUAUAGACGGGAAAGGAAAUGGAGCCCAGGCUGGACAGCGGGACUAGGUCGGGGCCCAGGGAGCCGCAACUCUAGCCAAACACUCUGCCAGCCUGGUUUGAAUGACCAGGUCUGUCGAGCACAUUGUCAAUUCCCACACCUCCGGUGAGGGAGCUUACUUCGUGAGCUCUCUAGGGGGCGGAUUGCUGGGGCAUCCCCAUAGAAUGUGGUUCUAGCUCGCCAUUGCCAGGCCACAAUAGUAUGUGCAUUUUGAUACAUUAUCAUCUUUGAUGAUGGCAGCUAGGCGCCUGGGGCUUAGAAUGCUAUGGGUUUGCGAAGCUUGUAUUGCCUCACAAGUGUUGGUGGUGGUGCUGGUGUCACACUAAAACCCUAUCGAAAAGUGUCGAAAAAGCGCGUCUUGUUCGCUUGGCAUAUACUAAAAUUGGCAUGCAAGAGUAUGAAUGUAUGACUAACAUGACUGAUACAUCAUGACAUGAAUAAUAUCACAUGCUCAUCAAUUACGUCAGGAUUAACAAUAAAAUCACGCGUGGUGCAUACCCGCAUUGGAUAUGCGUCCAUGAGCCAGGGACAAGAAUGAAAGGAAGGAACAGAAGAGAGAACGAAAGAAAGAAAUCGUGCGGUUCAUACUGGGGCCGCACAUUUGAGCGCCGCUCCUAGACUAGAGUAGGUGCGGGGUAAGCUGCGCCGGUGCCGGAUCACGUGACGCGCUCGACCAAUCAGGGUAGUUUGGUGUCUCACAGGGAGGGAAA